AUUGGCCUGUGUUGGCGCGUUGGAUCCCUGCUUAGGCAGCGACAACGUUGCACGCAGGCCUCUUCAGUUGUUGGCCCGAGUACUUCUCGGCCAUCGUCGGUUUCUCGUGUUGGAUACCUAUUGGGAGGGCAUUAUUCGGUCGGAAAUGAUGAGCUUCCGCCUUUUGCCGUGCCCCCUCGGGGAUGCGGUGUCGGGCGGACCUCGAGGCACACUUUGUGAACCACGGCCCUUGCACGGUUCUGUGCUCGGGCUGUUGGGCCAUGCUGUCGUGCGCGAUCUCUCGGAUACGGAACAUUGUGCGGGCACGAGGUCCUCGGCCUCUAUCAUGCCCAAACUUCGAGCGUCCUACGCUUCGUGCGAAUGACUCCCGCCUGCGUGUUGACCGGGUCCCCGUGGCCCGUCUCAUGCGCUUGCGGCGUCCGUUGGGAA
rnacentral:misc_RNA from 1 species